rnacentral:rRNA from 1 species
CAAGCUCGUAGUUGAAUUUUAGACGGGCUCUAUUGGGCUGCAACCCGUUAAGGUUUUCUAGAAAAUGGUUCGUCCAGCUAGCAAGACUGGUUGUAUUUGCCCUGAUAGGAACCCGUUGUUUCGUCACUUAAUCGAGUGCGAAGCGGGCUGGCACAGGGAUGUCGCCUCGGCGCGUCCUGUUUCAGCAUGUUUACCUUGAGAAAAUUAGAGUGCUCACAGCAGGCAGUUUGGGUGUAAAAGCCCAUUUAUGCUUGAAUAAUGUUGCAUGGAAUAAUAGAAUACGGCUUCGGUUCUAUUCUGUUGGUCUUAUAGAACAACAAACAAGUUGGUUAGGGCGAUCAAAAGUUCGUUUGUUAGCGUGGCCAUUAUGGGGCUGUUGGGGGAUGAUUGUUUGGUUUCGGUGGGUAGUGUUGCCUGGAGGAUAGAAACUCUAGAGCCGCGCCUCCGGUCAACCGGCCUUUAUAAUUCACAGAUUCCCAUCUUGACCAUCCAAAAGCGCUUCAAAUUGGGCUAGCUCUCAAUCAACUGAGGCAAUGGUUAAAAGAAAUAGUCGCGGCGGCAUCAGUACUGCAUCGUGAGAGGUGAAAUUCUUAGACCGAUGCAAGACUAACUGAAGCGAAAGCGUUUGCCGAGGAUAUUUUCAUUAAUCAAGAACGAAAGUUAGAGGUUCGAAGGCGAUCAGAUACCGCCCUAGUUCUAACCAUAAACGUUGCCAACUAGCAAUUGGAUUGCGAUUCCUUUAAUCGGGGUGUAAAAGCUCCGAUCAUUAUGAUCCAUCCAGCGGCUCUCGUAGGGAAACCAAAGUGUUUGGGUUCCGGGGGAAGUAUGAUUGCAAAGUUGAAACUUAAAGGAAUUGACGGAAGGGCACCACCAGGAGUGGAGCCUGCGGCUUAAUUUGACUCAACACGGGGAAACUUACUAGAUUAAAACUCUGGAAUGAUUGACAGAUUGAUAGCUCUUUCUUGAUUCAGAGGAUGGUGGUGCAUGGCCGUUCUUGAUUCGUAUUCCGAAACGUCUGCUUAAUUGCGAUAACGAGUGAGACCUCCUCCAACUAACUAGUCGUUUGGUGCGCUGUGGAACGCAAAAGUUCCGAUAGGACUCGGUUAUGGGCUUGCAGUGGCAACAUUGUUUGGCUCUUAGCUACCUGUUUGGAAUGUUCUCUGCUCGCCAGCGGACUUCUUAGAGGGAUAAACGGUGUUUUAGCCGUAAGAAACGAGGCAAUAACAGGUCUGUGAUGCCCUUAGAUAUUCUAGGCCGCACGCGUGCUACAAUGGCGUGUGCAGAAAGCUUGUUCGAGGUUCGUCCAGAGAGAACUGGCUGUUUGGUUGGUGUUUGGUCGCAAGAUUGAGCAUUGAUCGGCAGAGAAGUGACUUUGGUUAGCGGGCCGAGAGAAACCUUAGCCGAAAGGUUAGGGCAAUCAGAAAUAGACGCCGUGAUUUGGGAUUGGGGAUUGCAAUUGUUGCCCAUGAACGAGGAAUUCCCAGUAAGCGCAAUUCAUCAUAUUGCGUUGAUUACGUCCCUGCCCUUUGUACACACCGCCCGUCGCUACUACCGAUUGGAAGUUUUAGUGAGGCAUCCGGACCUGCUAUUCGUGAAGAGGCAACUCUUUUG